UACGGAGAGUGCAAGCAUUAAUCGGAAUUAUUGGGCGUAAAGGGCGCGUAGGCGGAUAUAUAAGUCAGAUGUGAAAUUCCGAAGCUCAACUUCGGAACUGCAUUUGAAACUAUAAAUCUUGAGGAUUGACGGAGAAAACGGAAUUCCACGUGUAGCGGUGAAAUGCGUAGAUAUGUGGAAGAACACCGGUGGCGAAAGCGGUUUUCUAGUUAAUACCUGACGCUGAGGCGCGAGAGCAAGGGGAGCAAACAGG
rnacentral:rRNA from 1 species